AUGUCACUGUUCUAUAUUGUGACGUCACCAUUCCCCAUUGUGAGUCCAGAAUUCUAUUUUGUGACAUCACCAUUCCCAAUUGUGACGUCAACAUUACCCAUUGUGAUGUCAACAUUCUGUACUGUGACGUCACAAUUCUAUAUUGUGACGUCAGAAUUCCCCAAUGUGACGUUACCAUUCUAUACUCUGACAUCACCAUUCUAUGUUGUGAUAUCAAAAUUACCCAUUGUGAUGUCACCAUUAUAUACAGUGACGUCACCAUUCUAUAUUUUGACGUCACCAUUCCACAUUGUGGCGUCACUUUUCUGUAUUUUGACGUCACCAUUCCCCAUUGUGGUCACCAUUCCCAAUUGUGAUGUCACCAUUCUAUAUUGUGACGUCGCCAUUCUAUAUUGUGACGUUACCAUUCCCCAUUGUUAUGUCACCAUUCCCCAUUGUGAUGUCACCAUUCUAGAUUGUGACAUCACCAUUCUACAUCGUGACAUCACCAUUCUAUCUAGUGUUGUCACCACUCUAUAUGGUGACGUCACCAUUCUGUAUUUUGACGUCGCCAUUCCCUAUAGUGAUAUCACAAUUGUAUAUUGUGAUAUCACCAUUCUAUAUUGUGACGUCACCAUUCUAUUUUGUGAUGUCACCAUUCUAUAUUGUAAUUUCACCAUUACAAAUUGUGAUGUCACCAUUCCCCAUUGUGACGUCACCAUUCUAUAUUGUGACGUCACCGUUCUAUAUUGUGACGUCACCAUUCCCCGUUGUGACGUCACCGUUCUAUAUUGUGACAUCACUGUUCUACAUCGUGACGUCACCAUUCUAUCUAGUGUUGUCACCACUCUAUAUGGUGACGUCACCAUUCUGUAUUGUGAUGUCACCAUUCCCCACUGUGACGUCUCCAUUCUAUAUUGUGCAGUCACAAUUCCCCAUUGUGAUGUCACCAUUCCCCAUUGUGACGUCAACAUUCUAUAUUGUGACGUCAACAUUCUAUAUUGUGAUGUCACCAUUCCCCAUUGUUAUGUCACCAUUCUAUAUUGUGACGUCACCAUUCUGUAAUGUGACGUUAACAUUCCCCAUUGUGAUGUCAGCAUUCCCCAUUGUGAUGUCAUCAUUACACUUUGUGACAUCACCAUUCUAUGUUGUGAUGUCAACAUUCUAGAUUGUGACGUUAGCAUUACCCAUAGUAACGUCACAAUUCUAUAUUGUGACGUCACCGUUCUACAUCGUGACGUCACCAUUCUAUCUAGUGUUGUCACCACUCUAUUUGGUGACGUCACCAUUCUGUAUUUUGAUGUCACCAUUCCCUAAUGUGACGUCACCAUUGUAUAUUGUGUCAUCACCAUUCUAUAUUGUGACGUCACCAUUCCAUAUUGUGAGGUCGUCAUUCCCCGUUGUGACGUCACCAUUCUAUAUUGUGACGUCACCAUUCUAUAUUGAGACGUCAACAUUCCCAUUGUGAUGUCACCAUUAUAUAUUGUGAUAUCACCAUUUUAAAUUGUGAUGUCACCAUUCCCUAUUGUGACGUCACCAUUCCCCAUUGUGACGUCACCAGUCUAUACUGUGACGUCACCAUUCUAUACGUGCAUACGUGCAUGUGUACGUCUCUGUUUUUGUGUGUUUGAGUACUUACACAGAUGUUAUUACACACACCUCUACAAAAGCAUGUA
rnacentral:lncRNA from 1 species